rnacentral:tRNA from 1 species
GGCGGGAUGUCAGAGCGGCCGAAUGAGAUGGUUUCGAAAACCAUUAUGCUCGCAAGGGCAUCGGAGGUUCGAAUCCUCCUCCCGCCGCCA